rnacentral:rRNA from 1 species
GAUGAACGCUGGCGGCGUGCCUAAUACAUGCAAGUCGAGCGAACGGACGAGAAGCUUGCUUCUCUGAUGUUGGCGGCGGACGGGUGAGUAACACGUGGAUAACCUACCUAUAAGACUGGGAUAACUUCGGGAAACCGGAGCUAAUACCGGAUAAUAUUUUGAACCGCAUGGUUCAAAAGUGAAAGACGGUCUUGCUGUCACUUAUAGAUGGAUCCGCGCUGCAUUAGCUAGUUGGUAAGGUAACGGCUUACCAAGGCAACGAUGCAUAGCCGACCUGAGAGGGUGAUCGGCCACACUGGAACUGAGACGCGGUCCAGACUCCUACGGGAGGCAGCAGUAGGGAGUCUUCCGCAAUGGGCGAAAGCCUGACGGAGCAACGCCGCGUGAGUGAUGAAGGUCUUCGGAUCGUAAAACUCUGUUAUUAGGGAAGAACAUAUGUGUAAGUAACUGUGCACAUCUUGACGGUACCGAGUCAGAAAGCCACGGCUAACUACGUG